GCAGCGGUGGCUCAAUGGUUAAAAAGCUCUGGGUUACUGAUCAGGAGGUUGGGGGUUCAAGCCCCACCACAGCA